rnacentral:tRNA from 1 species
AGAGCUUUAGUUUAAUUAAAAUAUCUGUAUUGCAGUCAGGAGAUGUAGUUUAUCUGCAAGCUCUG